rnacentral:rRNA from 1 species
ACUGAAGAAAGCAGCGUGCUUUUAUCCCUGUCUGUAAAAAAGUGGGUAACCCGUGGAACCUCCUUAGUGAUUGGGAUAGGGAAUUGCAAUUUUUCUCCUUGAAC